CGCCCUACAUCUCAUAUAGCUCGUCGUUAUAACAACUCAUCCAUUGUCCUUCUACACAUACGGGGCCAAGUAUCCUUCUGAGCAUCUUCCUCUGGAACACGGCUAAGAGGGUUUCGUCAGAUUUGGACAGUGUCCAUGUCUCAUAGGCGUAUGUGAAUUCCGUUACUACACAGGGUCGCUAAUGUUGCCACCAUCAGUUUGGCCUUUGCCUCGUUUAUCUGCAAUCUGAGGUUCUCUGCCGCCUGCUCGAUGCCUUGGUAGGCUUCUGUUAAAUAGGAGAACCGCAGACCAACGAUGUAUAUAUCAUCAGCGUAUGCCAGGAUCUGGAUUGACCUAUAGAACAUGGUUCCCGAAGUUUCGACCCUCCAGUCCCUGAUGGCACUCCUAUGGACAACAAACAUUCACAUUGAAUGAGAAGUCUGAAAUAUUUAUUUCUGGCAAUAAUUCGGUGAUAACAAAUAAGCGUUGCUGGAGGAUCGUUGGCCGAUAUGGGACUGAAGAUCUUCGCCGAUCAAUGUUCACACGCUGCACUGAUCUUGCUUUGAUGAGCUGUAAAACAUGGCAAAAAUAAAUAGAUAACAUUUCCAACUCAAGUAGACCACC